UUGGAUGCAGUGAGUGACUCCAGAUCCUAAUUGAACACAACAAGCCCUGUGACAGCGAGAGGAGAUAUGUCUGCAGUGGUGGAGCCAGGUGGGUUAGACUGCGAGCAGCGAGAGGAGAGGUGAUAUGUCUGCAGUGGUGGAGCCAGGUGGGUUAGACUGCGAGCAGCGAGAGGAGAGGAGAUAUGUCUGCAGUGGUGGAGCCAGGUGGGAUAGACUGCGAGCAGCGAGAGGAGAGGAGAUAUGUCUGCAGUGGUGGAGCCAGGUGGGUUAGACUGUGAGCAGCGAGAGGAGAGGAGAUAUGUCUGCAGUGGUGGAGCCAGGUGGGUUAGACUGUGAGCAGCGAGAGGAGAGGAGAUAUGUCUGCAGUGGUGGAGCCAGGUGGGUUAGACUGCGAGCAGCGAGAGGAGAGGAGAUAUGUCUGCAGUGGUGGAGCCAGGUGGGUUAGACUGCGAGCAGCGAGAGGAGAGGAGAUAUGUCUGCAGUGGUGGAGCCAGGUGGGUUAGACUGUGAGCAGCGAGAGGAGAGGAGAUAUGUCUGCAGUGGUGGAGCCAGGUGGGUUAGACUGUGAGCAGCGAGAGGAGAGGAGAUAUGUCUGCAGUGGUGGAGCCAGGUGGGUUAGACUGCGAGCAGCGAGAGGAGAGGAGAUAUGUCUGCAGUGGUGGAGCCAGGUGGGUUAGACUGCGAGCAGCGAGAGGAGAGGAGAUAUGUCUGCAGUGGUGGAGCCAGGUGGGUUAGACUGUGAGCAGCGAGAGGAGAGGAGAUAUGUCUGCAGUGGUGGAGCCAGGUGGGUUAGACUGCGAGCAGCGAGAGGAGAUAUGUCUGCAGUGGUGGAGCCAGGUGGGUUAGACUGCGAGCAGCGAGAGGAGAGGAGAUAUGUCUGCAGUGGUGGAGCCAGGUGGGUUAGACUGCGAGCAGCGAGAGGAGAGGAGAUAUGUCUGCAGUGGUGGAGCCAGGUGGGUUAGACUGCGAGCAGCGAGAGGAGAUAUGUCUGCAGUGGUGGAGCCAGGUGGGUUAGACUGCGAGCAGCGAGAGGAGAGGAGAUAUGUCUGCAGUGGUGGAGCCAGGUGGGUUAGACUGUGAGCAGCGAGAGGAGAGGAGAUAUGUCUGCAGUGGUGGAGCCAGGUGGGUUAGACUGCGAGCAGCGAGAGGAGAUAUGUCUGCAGUGGUGGAGCCAGGUGGGUUAGACUGCGAGCAGCGAGAGGAGAUAUGUCUGCAGUGGUGGAGCCAGGUGGGUUAGACUGCGAGCAGCGAGAGGAGAUAUGUCUGCAGUGGUGGAGCCAGGUGGGUUAGACUGCGAGCAGCGAGAGGAGAGGAGAUAUGUCUGCAGUGGUGGAGCCAGGUGGGUUAGACUGCGAGCAGCGAGAGGAGAUAUGUCUGCAGUGGUGGAGCCAGGUGGGUUAGACUGCGAGCAGCGAGAGGAGAGAAGAUAUGUCUGCAGUGGUGGAGCCAGGUGGGUUAGACUGCGAGCAGCGAGAGGAGAGAAGAUAUGUCUGCAGUGGUGGAGCCAUCUGGAGGUACUGCACUGAGCGGGCAGAGGGUUUAAAUGGCACAACGCCACAGUAACAGGGCAUUACUGACACUCCUGAUGGUGCGACUGGGGCAUGAGUUACAGGUUGCCAUCGCCGACAAAGUGUGUGUAUGUGUGAGCGUGCACACAAGCAUCUGGUUCACACCUCCCCUGACUGGAUGAGGAAGCUAGUGCUUCCACACACAGACCUGGGUUUAACUACCAUUUGAAAUAAUUGCAUGUCAUUUAGCUUGCCUGUUGCAACAGAACCAAUAUUAAAAGUCCCAAAAUUGGAAACCCCGCCCACCUGGCAGUCAAGGCAGACUAAAGCAAACGCUGAAAAUAUUUGAACGAUUUCAAAUCAUAUUUAAAUCCAGGUCUGCUCACACAGCAGGGCUGGGCCACACAUCCAUGUCACACACUGUAAACAGGUGAUGCCACCACCUGGCUUUGAGCGCAGUGAUUUGACUUGCACCAGGAGGCAUAGUUUUCGAACAUGAGAACAUUUAAAAGUAACUGAAGACAAGUACUUGGGAGAAUCCCACAGCGGUAUUUUGCAUUGUCAGGUAAACCCACCUGACAAUGCAAAGUCUGUGCUAUGAUGUUACAGGCUAAUGAUCACCGUUAACAGUGCCUACUCAGUCAAUGACUAGCAUUUUUGUGGUUGAAAAAGUUUCACUCAAGUAUUGUGAGGAAAACGAUCAUAAAAUCCACGAUACCAUCCAUACUAACUGAAACCUAACAAAUAUAAAUAAAACACCCACACACAGGGUGUCCUGGUUUGUUGAAACCACAGCCCAGGGUGUGCCACCCCCACCACCUCUCUGUGGUGUCUCUCACUGCAUACCUCAUGGCUUCCAUUUUCCAAAGCAGCUUUGUUGCACCAAAAUGUCACUUUGGGUCCCUCCCACACACAUUUACACAGACAACAAUAGUAGCCUAAAUGAAAACCGACACUAUAGUCUUCUAAUAAGUCUACAUUUGGACCAACAGUUUUUGUUCUAUCUGCAGGUUUCAGACUGUCAAAAUAUUCUCUGCUCUAUUCAACACCUGGCAUGUGUGUUCAGUGAAACUUGGGUGGCUGAGGUCCGAACAGAGAGCCUUCCUAUAACAUACCCUGCCAGCCUGAAAUGUUCUGAACAUUGCAGACAGAAAUAGAAUGAAUCUGACAAUCAUAUCUGUUCUACACGAUACAUUUCUAACAGUAUGUUAUGCAACGUUACACAUCCUUUGGACAAGCUGCUGGCAACUCUCACUGCUCUCUGUGCCAAAACAAUGAAUUUGUGAGUGGUUAUUAUGUACCAGGCACCAGCUUCCCCAAGCUUUCUCAACGACUAUGCAUGCCAGGCUGACAAAGUAUACUUCUGGCAUUCUCUCUUUGGUCCUCUGCCUCCUCACUACCUCAAAAAAAGCAUUUUCAUAACCCAAACUCCGGCCAAAAAUAAUAUCUGGUUAGUGGUUUUGGUUGAGCACCGGCACCAACUUUACCAGGCUUUCACAAUGAUUGUGCAUGGCAUGCCAUGCUGCUAGGCGAUUCAGCAAAACUCCACAGAAAUAAGCCUCAGCCUCACAGUCUCAGGCUCAAUGAGAUAGGACAAGACGCGGCACGCUCUGCUCCAUCAAGAAGAGCUUUCAAAGCUUUCAUCUCAAGUCCAGAGGCCAAACAUGCAAAUCAUCACAACGUAGCCAGACACCGCUCCCUGCUGAAUGCACGCUGAUUUAAUAUGUAGCAUAUAGGCUUGCUUUACAUUCAUUCACAGAUUUGCAUGCAUGGGAGAUACAUACAUGUGCGCAAACGGAAGUAACUCGUAACGAUACAAAAAGACAGUGCACGCACUGACAUACAUGCCAAAGAAUUACAUGAGUAGAGAAACAUUUGAAUAUAGCUCAAUCAGGCACGCAUAGUCAAGAUGUCGCUAAGUGAUUGGAGCAGACCUAGUGUACUUCCCAAAUGGCACCCUAUUCCCUAUAUAGUGCACCAUGGACCCUGGUCAAAAGUAGUCCACUACAGGUGCCAUUUGGGACGCAGUCCUAUGGCAGGCCUGUUUAAACAUUAGGAUUCUUUCUAUCAGAUCUCUCCAGAGUGGAAAAUCACAACAAAUGGAACAUGCAGUUGAGCUAGAACAAAUGUCCAGUGAUUGUUACUCAGAACAAAAGAGAGAAAGGUAUAGGAUCAAUAGAUUAUAUAAUUUACAGUGUACAGGGAAAGAAUAAGCUAAUAUGCUGCAUUGUCUGUCCUGAGCUAAUAAAAUAUGGUUAGUUUCAAAAACAGGCCUUCAAAAAAAGCUCUUCCUAAGACUACAAUUCUGCUCAUAUAUUUUCACAUCUGUGAGAAUUUUGGCAUAAUAACCACUCGCCUGCUAAAUAAGACAUGAUUCAAACAGUUUUAGAAACUUCAGAGUGUUUUCUCUCCAAAUCUACUAAUAAUAUCACAUCAUAUCUUAGCAUAUGUGGGAACUCUUUCAAGACUAUUGGAAAAGCAUUCCAGGUGACAACCUCAUGAAGCUGGUUGACAGAAUGCCAAGAGCGUGCAAAGCUGUCAAGGCAAAGAAAGGGUGGCUACUUUGAAUAAUCUAAAAUAUAUAUUUUUUUGUUUAACACUUUGAUUACAUGAUUCCAUUUGUGUUAUUUCAUAGUUUUGAUAUCUUCACUAUUAUCCUACAAUGUAGAACAUCGUACGAAUAAAGAAAAACCCUUGAAUAAGUAGGUAGGUGUCCAAACUUUUGACUGGUACUCUGUUCAUGAAUAAUUUCAUCCAAACUGCUUGCAUGCAUCUGAGUAGCCAGUUCUAUUUUAGACGCUUGAGUUACUGCAAGUGCAGCCUCUCCCAUAUCCUCAUUGGUUUUAGGAGAAUGUACCCACUCGGGUGACAGACGAAUGAGGACCACACACCACUCCAGUUGGUUGCAGUAAUGCACCUUAGUUGAUUGCCAACGCCAUAUAAACACCACAGAAGACAACUAGGAGAGAUUACUGGAAACUAACAAGGUUUCCCCUUUUAUCUGUGGAUAAAUUCUGAGUAGAGAACACACGAUUGUGUGACUCAAAAUGGGUCGAUAUACAACAAAGAUACAGCAAAAAGAAAAAAAAGACCUUGUACAUUUCAGGUAAAACAACAACCUAAUGUUUAUAUUCAAUGACAAAUUAGCUAGUAACAGCAAGCUAGCUAAAUGUCCAUGAAUGUUUAAUGUGUUUCGACCUGUCCCCAAAUGAAUAUAGUUGGUUCAGAGUUAUUUUUUAUUUAAACUUGCAUGUUCUGAUCGCAUCUGGUGUGGAUAGACAAGAUCAGCAUGCACACAAUAGCGCACACACGUGCAUGCCCGGUGUCGUCAGCAUGUAAUUAAAAGCAGUAGUACUGAAGCCAAAGAAAUGGCGAAGAAAACAGCCAGUGAUCUGCCAGAUCUGCCAUAGCGAUCUUUGCUGAAACCAAGGUUGCCAGAGACAGUGCUUCAAGCACUGUGAAUUUAGAGAAAAAUCUUUGUGCAGCUAGACAGGCCCAUGCCUCACACUGCAGAUAAUAAACCCAGAGUGGCAUUCAUAGCAGGCAGAACCAAUCAGCCCGCUUAUUCUUCCUCUUCCAAACCCACACGGCCCGGAAUCCCAACAAUCUCAAGAGGUCCUCAAUUAAAUUCCGGAGACCCAGAGGAAGAUAUGAAUAAGACAUCGGCAUGAGGGAUGGACAGAGGGAAAUAGAAAUGGGAGGGGGGGCAGGCCAGAGCAGAGACCGACAGAGAGAGCGGGAUGAAAAUAACAUAUCUUGAGCCUGCGGCUGUUACGCCCCUACUUGCCACCCAGGCAGUCUGAGAGAUACCCUACACUUCCAAAGUGUUGGUUCCAUGUUUCAUGAGCUGAAAUAAAAGAUCCCAGAAAUGUUCCAUACGCACAAAAAGCUAAUUUCUCAAAAAUGUUUUGUUUAGAACCCCUGUUAGUGAGCAUUUCUCCUUUGCCAAGAUAAUCAAUCCAUCUGACAGGUGUGGCAUAUCAAGAAGCUGAUUAAACAGCUUGGCCCCUAAAAUGUAGGGUUUUGUAACACAAUGCCACAGAUGUCUCAAGUUCAGGGAUAACUGUUCCUGCAUACUGCUAUGUAAACUCACCUAGGUCUCUAGAGCAAAUACAAGUCAUGUCUACUUAUUUUCUAUAUUAACAGACUAAUCUACCGUUUAAUUAAAACAUGUUUACUUGGCAACAAAUUAAAGUUUAAAUUAUAAACCAACUAACUGCAUCAUUUGUUUUAGCAGUAAGACUGAAGCUAGUUUAUUGAAAUACAUUUCAUGAAUAUCACAAUGAAUUGAUCAACCAGUUGAAGUCAACACUAAUGGUUUGAUGCAGCUGAAAUAAUUUAGUCAUUUGUCAGUACAGUCGUAAAAAAAAAAUGAUACAAUUACAUAUAUACACACACAACAGCUAGCAAUAUCUAUACCGCAACGCAGUUGUGAGCAUACUAGGCAUUCUACACUGAACAAAAAUAUAAGACGCAACAUGUUAAGCGUUGGUCCCAUGUUUUUGUGCAGAAGGAAAUGAGCCCAGAAAUUUGCCAUAAGCACAAAAAGUAUAUUUCUCUAAAGUGUUGUACACAAAUUUGUUUACAUCCCUGUUAGUAAGCAUUUCUCAUUUGCCAGGUUUUAUAGAAUUUGGCAGUGCGUCCAAUCGGCAGGGCCCAAUUUAUUUAUUUCAAUUUCCUGAUACGAAUUGUAACUAAGUCAUUUUUGAAUUUAUAUUUUUGUUCAGUAUAUAUCCUUUGGGUUACAGCUGUCAUGUUGGUCCAGCUGUCACGUGGUCCUUCUGUAGCUCAGUUGGUAGAGCAUGGCGCUUGUAACGCCAGGGUAGUGGGUUCGAUUCCCGGGACCACCCAUACGUAGAAUGUAUGCACACAUGACUAAGUCGCUUUGGAUAAAAGCGUCUGCUAAAUGGCAUAUAUUAUUAUUAUAUUAUGUUGUGAAGCUCCACUGGGAACCAUUUCGUCACCACAAGGCUUCUUAGAUGGUUGAGGUUUACCUAACGAUACUCUCGGCGGUGUUGUCUGUGCAUAAGUGUAUCAGCUUCAGGUCACUGCAGUGCGCAGUCCUGCUUAAGUAGUGGUUAACUUCACCACGAUGACUACAACAUAAGAUCAUUGUUCAACUAUGGGGGGACCGACCAAUACCUGUGAUCUUCAUGUCGUAUUUAGUACACCUGUUUUUAGCCCUUAUCACGUUUAAACCAAGAUGGCAUGGCAGUCAGACGUCCUUUGUCCUCGUCUUGUCGUGUCCCGGUGAUAUAUAUUUACAUCUUUUCAUAUAUUUUAUUUUCUAAAAACUCAACUUCAAAACUCUCCUGCAACCUGCCUCACCAACUUAAAAUAAAAAUACAAGUAUUAUUCACCUCAAAUCUGAAAUCCACAAUAGAAGCUAGCCAGUUUACUGGCUAACGUUAGUAUUCAGCUAACCACGGUUGGUGGUCAUCAGCUAUCCUUUAGCUCGAAAAACUAUCGCCAGUUUUGUACAACGCGACUCAGACCAGAGCAUACCGGACCUAUUUUCUCUCCAUAUCCCCAGAUUUCUACCACAAGCUCUGGACAUUUACACCUGGAUCUUGCAGCUAGCUAGCUGCUAUCCGAGUGACUAUUGGCUUACGCCGGUCCCGGAGCAAACAUCAAUUAUUCCGGAGCUAGCCACCUGAAGAGUUCCAUCAGCCACUCCUGGGCUACAAUCACCUAUCCGGACCCGUUUUACUGCCGAUGCGGAGCCCCACCGGGCCUUCACGACUGGACUACCGACGUUAUCUGCCCAAGGGAGUUAUCCAACUGGCCCCUCCGUUGCGACGUUACCUGAACGCCCAUUUGCGGCCCGCUAAUCGUUAGCUGUCUUAUCGGCUGCUAUCUGAAUAGGUCUAUCGGACAAUUUUCUUGGAUCACUAUAACUAUUUUGCCAAUUGGAUUGGUCCCCCUCUACCAGACGGAACCCCACUAAUAUACCGACGGAAACGCACGAUGUGGCUAAAAACAGACCUCCAUCCUCUGCCAGCUUGCUACCGAUGGCCCGGCUUGCUGUCUGAAUCACAGUAACCCCAACCAACCUCACUACUCACUGGACCCUUAUGAUCACCCGGAUAUGCAUGCCUCUCCUUAAUGUCAAUAUAUCUUGUCCAUUGCGGUUCUGGUUAGUGUUUAUUGGCUUAUUUCACUGUAGAGCCUCUAGCCAUGCUCAUUAUACCUUAUCCAACCUUUCAGUUCCACCACCCACACCUGUGAUGACAUCACCUGGUUUCAAUUAUGUUUCUAGAGACAAUAUCUCUCUCAUCACUCAAUGCCUAGGUUUACCUCCACAUCCUACCAUACCCUUGUCUGUACAUUAUGCUUUGAAGCUAUUUUAUCACCCCAAUAAACCUCCUUUCUCUCUGUUCCGGAUGUCCUAGACGACCAAUUCUCAUAGCUUUUAGCCGUACCCUUAUCCUACUCCUCUGGUGAUGUAGAGGUGAAUCCAGGCCCUGCAGCGACUAGCUCCACUGCUAUUCCCCAGGUGCUCUCUUUUGAUGACUUCUGUAACCGUAAUAGCCUUGGUUUCAUGCAUGUUAACAUUAGAAGCCUCCCCCCUAAGUUUGUUUUAUUCACUGCUUUAGCACACUAACCCGGAUGUCCUAGCCAUAUCUGAAUCUUGGCUUAUUGAGAACUUGUUCUCAACUUGCCUACCUGGUUAAAUAAAGGAGUGCAAAAAUGGCCCAAGGCAUAGUAAGAUUAAGUCGAUAACUUAGAAAUUAAGGGAAGCACUUGUCUUGAGCAGCGUUACGAAUCCCUUUGGCCCAGCAAUCUAGGGGGGGAUGGUAACGAGACCCGUAACAUAACUCAUGCCAAGUAUAAUAGCGAAAAACAGUGAGAACGAAAAACCACAGACAACUAAAUUACCGUCAAACACUCAUGGUUUAUUUCUAAACACACGGUAAAGGGGGGCGGGAAAAGGGGCUGACCUGGACCCAAGGAAAUAAACAAAUAUCCAAAAACACCCCUAAACUAGACUAGCUUACUUCAAUACAGCUAACUAACUAAUCAAAAAUACAGUGGGUGGUCCACCCAGUUCUAACUAUGGUAUUUAGACAAAGUUUACCUACUGGUAGUGUAUGCCCAUGGGCGACUUGUCUUGAUACCCCCUUUCCCCACCAACAAACAAAUAGCCAUGAACCACAACAAUACAUAUUCACAUAAUUCCGGGCAAAUGUGACAUGUAGGAACAAAAAAACAAAAAAUAAGUAAAUAACGAGUGAGAGCAAUAUUGCAAGAGAUUGAGACACAGAGAGAUUAAAACACAAAGAGAUCAAUCUCCAGAUAAUACAACUGACUGGGUUUUUAAACCAAGGGAAAGGGAAUGUGAUAGGGUAAGAGAAAAGGAGCAGGUGUCUUCUGAUUAGCGACUGAUUGGGGAAUGAUGAUUGUCACCUGUGAGGGGAGAAGGAUAGAAAUGAAAUACACACAGGAUACACACUCAGGAUACUUGUAUUCGUAACAAGCAGCCAUAACAGUUGCUGGUCUGGUAGCAGCCUAACAUGAGCUAGCAUUAUUUACGAGUCCAAGCGUGGCAGCCUGCUAACUCUCUCAUAGCAGAUUUUCACAGGAUGUAGGCCUACCGGGCUGUUUAAUUUGGCCAGGCUUCAGCCUGGAGAUUUGGCUGGAGGUGAGAGGCUGUUACAGAACAGAAAGAAGGAAAAAAGAAAAUUGGCCCCCGAGAUUAGAUUAAAUAUUAUUGACUGCUGGGACCAGGUGACCUGCUACGUUUUAUUCCACACACACACACACACACACACACACACACACACACACACACACACACACACACACACACACACACACACACACACACACA